UAACGAAUCUUCCGCAAUGCGCGAAAGCGUGACGGAGCAAUGCCGCGUGCAGGAUGAAGCCCUUCGGGGUGUAAACUGCUGUCAGGGAUUAGGAAGCAAGUGACCAGUCCCAAAGGAAGAGACGACUAACUCUGUGCCAGCAGUCGCGGUAAUACAGAGGUCUCGAGCGUUAGUCGGAUUUAUUGGGCUUAAAGCGUGCGUAGGCGGAUGUGCAGGCGUCGUGUGAAAGCCCUCGGCUCAACCGGGGAACUGCACGGCGAACCGCAUGUCUUGAGACAAGUAGGGGCGGCCGGAACGAUAGGUGGAGUGGUGAAAUGCGUUGAUAUCUAUCGGAACGCCGAAGGUGAAGACAGGCCGCUGGGCUUGUUCUGACGCUGAGGCACGAAAGCGUGGGGAGCAAACGGGAUUAGAUACCCCGGUAGUCC
rnacentral:rRNA from 1 species